AUUUUUAGGAAAAGUGAUUAAUUUUGGAAAAUACUUUCAUUGCGGAAGCUUUGCUUGUUGUCGUGUUAUUUUGAAAUCAACUGUUGUUUUUGAAAACGCGCCCUAAAGCUAUCCAAUUUCAACAGUUAAAAUAAGUAUUACCUAUCUUAGUAAUACAUAUUAAAAACCAUCAAAAAUAAAUAAGCGGCCUUAUUACAUUUAAAAGCCCAAAACCUCAAACGUAAUUAAAAGGAUGUCCAGUUCACCAGAAGAAAAUCAAACUUUCAGAACGGGUGGCCACCUUGAAUUCCCUCACAGCUCCAAGCCCACUAUGGUCGGGGAUUACCUGCGUGGAUGAAAAUAAAAGGGAUGAGUUUGGGGAAACUCAGUGUGUAAAAUAACCCAACCAUAGUCUAAAUCAGCUCAACCCACAGAAAUAGAAUAAGUUGGCCUUAGCCCAGAACAGAAUUCAGAAUAAAGCCCAUAGGCCCAUAACAGAACAUAACAGAUAUUACAUGUUUAUGCAGAAACCCAACCAUAUCCAACCGUAUACACCCCCAUACCAACCUUACACCGUGUGGUGAGACAACUCGACCCACCCAAACCGAUACACACCACAGAAAUUUGCAGCAUGGCUUGCCAGAACAGAUAAUGUGACAGAGUCACCAGAUACAGAUAAUCGUGGCAGAGCCACCAGAACAGAUAUAUGUGGCAGAGCACCAGAUCAGAUAUUUGUUGCAUAGCUACCAGAACAUAUUGUGGCAUAGCUACCAGAACAGAUAUAUGUGGCAGAGCCACCAGAUCAGAUAAUUGUGGCAUAGCCACCAGGACGCUUCCUCCAUAAUAUAACCCAUGUCCCCAUGCAACAGAUAUAUAUAAUCAUGGAAAACAUCAUACGGAAUCAAAUCGCCAUGCUUUUCAGUCAAAAUUAACCCUACGGGUAUAACAGUAAUUUUGCAACUAGGGGUAUAACAGUAAUUUUCCAUACAUAGGGGUAUUAUAGUAAUUUAGCUACUUUUAGGGUUUUCAUGCAUAUCCUAACUAUUUACGUAUUAUCAGAACACUUACUGCGCAUACUUACCGAAUUGGGCCCGUUGGCCCAUGAACCCGAUCUUUGGCCCAUUAAGCCCAAAUUAUCAAAAUGUACGAAAUCGCGCGUACUGCAGUUUAUUACUUUAGAUUAUCAAAUAUACAAACCCAACUAUCUUACGAGCAUUCGCACACUCGCAAAUUCCCAAAAUACCGACUUUUCGGUAUUUCAGCUUUUCGGCUUUUGCCAAUCUAGUCUAUGAGAGGGUGUCAGUUACACACCUGUUUGCGACGAUAUGCUGACGAGAUCCACACACGAACCGCCUACAAUUGGAUUACUAACACGUUAAUCUAACUAUUCAAAUACAAACUACGUAUUAACCCCUUACAAUAUUCGGCCAACCACACCUACAGAUCAUAGUAAGCUUAUAAGAAAUCAAUAAGCAACUCAUUAACAAUUUUUUGUCAAUGUUUACCACAUAAUCAUAAUUUCACUGCAAGUUGUCUUCCUGAGCAAUAGUCACUAAAUUAUUUAUAACUGGAGCUACGAAACUCCAAAUCAAGUUCCGUUAAUUUUCCCUGAAAAUUGACUCAUAUAUAUUUUAUCCAUAAAAUUUUCAGAAUUUUUGGUUUAGCCAAUCAAUACCAGAUUUUCUCAAAGUUUCCCAUGUUUCACUAUUUGACUAAUCUGACCACUCUUCAUUAUGAAUCAAAUUUCUCAUUGUACAGAAUUCAAAAUAUGUUCUUGUUUAUUUCAUUAGAAACUAGACUCAAUAAGCUUUAAUUACAUAAUUUAUUUAGCUUCUAAUUGUUCUCCCACAAUUUAUGGUGAUUUUCCAAAGUCACGUUACUGCUGCUGUCCCAAGCAGAUUUAUUACCAAAUCACUCUUUCACACAUACCUUGCAUGCAUGUUAUUUAAACAUGUAUAUCACCAAUCAAUCAUUACAUAUCUAUGAUUUUACUUAAGUAUAAUCUCCAUUUCAUCAUUUUAAAGCACAACAUGUUAGCUGAUUUUUCCCUUUAACAUCUAAGGCACAUGCAUGCUCAUUUGUUUGGCUCAACUUCACCUAUCUUCCAUUUUUCAUCAAAAGAACAUGAAACAACAACCAUUUCCUUCAUUUUAAUUCAUGACUAAAUGCUCACAACACAACUAAAAAUCAAAAUAUACUUCAAGAGUUAAGGUAGAAUCAAGAAGAACUCAUGAACCUUAAAAUAGAAGCAAGGUACCAAGAACUUACCUUCAAUUUUCCUCCUCCUAAUGACCAAAUACUCAAGAGCUUUCUCCUCUCCUUUCUCUUCUCUAACUUUCAGCUAUGAUGAACAAAGAUGGACAAAACUUUGUUCUUUUCACCCUUUUUUCUUUUAAUAAAACUUCAUAUUUCAUCCAUUUAAUUCUAUAAUAUAAAAGACAUGAAAUUCUUAUCAUGAAACAUUUACCUAACCCAUUAUCAUGAAACAUUUACCUAACCCAUUAUCAUGGAACAUUUACCUAACCUAUUAUCAUUGAACCUUUACCUAACCUAUUAUCAAUUUGUAUCAAUUUGUACCAUAAAUUAUGGAUAUCAAGUGUACAUUUUGUCUACAACAACAUGAUGGCUGGCCACUUCAUGUAAAAUGAGAGGUUUGUCAUGCAAAUCCUCCUAUUUUGCACUCCUAUUUAUUUGGCCACUUCAAUUUAGCCUAUAACAUUUUCAAACAUUUUCACAUAGGUCCUAUUUCAGAAUUUCACCCCCUUUUUCUUAUGGAACAAAAAUUAAGUAAAAUUGUCAGGUUCUAUCUUAAGCUUGGGCUUUCUAGAGGCCCACUAACAUAAUUAAACCUAUGCCAACAUUCACAGGAUUCCCGAAAAUUGGGGCGUUACAACUCUACCCUCCUUAAAGAAAUUUUGUCCUCGAAAUUUACCUAAUCCAAACAGAUGAGGGUAUUGCUGUUGCAUCGUCUCUUCUGGUUCCCAAACUCAGAAGUUUCCCCUUCCUUAACUUGUUGAAAAUGAGCGACCAAAGACUCAUCGUUCAACUUUUUUUCCUUAAUCUGAUCCACCCAGGUUGGCCUCACUUGCAACUCAGCCAACAGACUUCCAUCAUCAUACAGACUCAGACGAGCAAACAUUGCUCUCAGAUCAGAUACAGUUCUACGACUUAGAGCAUCGGCUACCACAUUAGCCUUGCUUGGGUGGUACUCGAUCGAACAGUCAUAAUCCUUAAGCAACUCAAUCCAUCUCCUUUGCCUAAGGUUCAGCUCCUUCUGAGUCAACAAAUACUUAAGUCUCUUAUGGUCAGUGUAUAUAAUACACCUUUCUCCGUACAAGUAAUGUCUCCAAAUCUUAAGUGAAAAUAUCACUGCUGCCAACUCUAAAUCAUGAGUCAAAUAGUUUCCUUCAUGAGGCUUAAGCUGUCGUGAUGCAUAUGCAACCACCUUACCCUCUUGCAUUAACACGCAGCCCAAACCCACGUGUGAUGCGUCACUGUACACAGUAAAAUCAUUCCCAGACUCCGGCUAAAUUAACACAAGUGCUUCAGUCAGAACUUUCUUCAACUUCUCAAAAGCUUCUUGCUGCUUCUUAGUCCAUACAAACGAUACUCCUUUCCUUAUGAGUUUUUCAGAGGUACUGCCAUCACAGAAAAACCUUCUACAAACCUUCUGUAGUAUCCUGCCAGUCCUAGGAAACUCCGUAUUUCUGACACUGACCUAGGCGGCUUCCAUUCCAAAAUCGCUUCAAUUUUUUGAGGGUCCACUUUAAUCCCCUCAGCAGAGACCACAUGUCCUAAGAAAGUUACCUCCCUCAACCAAAAUUUACACUUGCUGAACUUCACAAAGAGUUCUUUCUCUAUUAAUACUUACAGCACUAUACAGAGAUGCUCAUCAUGUUUCGUUUUAGUUUCAGAAUAUACCAGGAUAUCGUCAAUAAAGACAACUACGAAUUGAUCUAAAAAUGGUUGGAACACAUGAUUCAUCAGAUCCAUAAACGCUGCAGGAGCGUUCGUUAGUCCAAAUGGCAUAACCAGAAACUCGUAAUGACCAUACCGAGUCCUGAAUGUCGUCUUUUGGAUAUCUGCCUCCUUGACCCUUAACUGAUGAUAUCUAGAUCGAAGGUUGAUCUUGGAAAAUACAGAAGCUCCUCUAAGCUGGUCGAAUAGAUCGUCAAUCCUUGGCAGUGGAUAUUUAUUCUUAAUCGUCAGUUUGUUCAACUGGCGAUAAUCAAUACACAUCUGCAUCGUACCAUCCUUCUUUUUCACGAAUAGCACCGGUGCUCCCCAUGGAGACACGCUUGGCCUAAUGAAGUCCCUGUCCAACAACUCUUGAAUUUGAGCCUUUAACUCCACUAACUCCUUCGAGGCCAUCCUAUACGGUGCGAUGGACACAGGCGCCGUUUCAGGCAACAAAUCUAUUCCAAACUCAACUUCUCGGUUCAGAGGCAAUCCUGGAAGCUCCUCCGGAAAAACAUCUUGGAACUCCUUUAUAGUCCUAACCUUAUCCACUAUCAGUCCCUCCUCUUCUGACUGACUUACAAAUGCCAAAUAGGCCUCACAACCUUUUCGAAUCCACUUUUCGGCUCUUAAAGCCGACACCACAUUGGACAAAAAUCCCUUCGCUCACCUAUCACCAUAACCUCCUCAUCCUUUGUGGUCCUUAACACCAUUCAUUUAGCAGCACAAUCCAGAGUUGCCUUAUGCUUAACAAGCCAGUCCAUUCCUAAAAUGAGAUCAAACUCUCCGAACGGUAACUCCAUCAGAUCUCCAGGGAAAAUCCUACCUUGAGUUUCUAAGGGUACACCCCUAUACAGUUUGUUUACCCUAACCGAGUGACCCAAAGGACUUACUACAAAUACCCCACUCACAACCUCCUCAGAGCAGUCCAAGUUGUCCAUAAUCCGUUCUGUGGCCUCCAACCAAUAUUCUGCCACAUUCGGGGCUAUACCAGACACGCCCCUAAAGAUCUCCGCUCCGUUAGCCCGAAGUCAUUCAGAAAUCGAUCCUCGAAUUCUGUUGCUCGAACUUGUCCCGGCAACCCUUUCCAGAACACGAAGCAUUACCUGUGAUAGGGCAUCAUCCCCGGUACCACGGUCAUGAGACUCUACCUCUGUUGUUGGUGGUACCGGUGCAUCCACCACCGGUAUAUGUCUCGAAGACGAAAAUCUCGCUCGAGCACUUCCUUGGCUCCGUCCACGGCCUCUUGUACUCAUAUCGUAUUUUCUUGAUUCUGAAUUUUUAUGCAUCAAUUAAUAUUCCAGUGUUUAUUACAGAUGUUUUAUGAAUCAGACAGUAGUUCAGAGUUUGUUUUCGCAGAAUCGAAGUCUAGCUACAAUUUCAGUCUCUUAUCAGAUUUUCCUAUGGUUUCACUAUCAUCCUAUCUAGAGUAUUAUAGCAGGAUUUUAGUACAGACAGAUAAGUCAGAAAAAUAUUCAGAAGAGUUCAGAGUAAUACUUACAGGCUUGGGCCGGAGAUUCGGAAUGCCACCUUCUAAAGAUCAAAAUUUUGAAAAUCGAGUUUUUCGCAUUCUUUAUAAAAUUUUCGCUUUCGAAAAUCUUUGUUUUUGUAAACCCAUUCCACAGCCGAGUUGUUGCAACCUAGGCUCUGAUACCAUUAAAUGUAGCACCCCAAACCCAGCCCAGAAGUUAUAGCCGGAUCCGGCAUGCCACAUCAAAAACGUUAAAAAAAAUUUUCCAUUCUAAGUCCAGAAAAUCGUACUUGAUGUUCAAAAGAUUAAUUCAUUAAGGGUUAAAGUGAAUGGAAGCUGUGCACUAGGUAGGAAACCAGAAAAGAGGUGGUGAGUCCAUCGGACUGCUUAAGUACCAAGCUCCCUUCAGAUCCAAUCCUAGACAUGCAUACCACCAUUGCCACACCUUAACGUCAUGGAUAUUUCUAGGAAACCGAUUUGAUUAAGUCAUUUUUAGGAAAAGUGAUUAAUUUUGGAAACUACUUUCAUUGCGAAAGCUUUGCUUGUUGUCGUGUUAUUUUGAAAUCAACUGUUGUUUUUGAAAACGCGCCCUAAAGCUAUCCAAUUUCAACAGUUAAAAUAAGUAUUACCUAUCUUAGUAAUACAUAUUAAAAACCAUCAAAAAUAAAUAAGCGGCCUUAUUACAUUUAAAAGCCCAAAACCUCAAAAGUAAUUAAAAGGAUGUUUAGUUCACCAGAAGAAAAUCAAACUUUCAGAAAGGGUGGCCACUCCGAAUUCCCUCACAGCUCCAAGCCCACUAUGGUUGGGGAUUACCUGCGUGGAUGAAAAUAAAAGGGAUGAGUUUGGGGAAACUCAGUGUGUAAAAUAACCCAACCAUAGUCUAAAUCAGCUCAACCCACAGAAAUAGAAUAAGUUGGCCUUAGCCCAGAACAGAAUUCAAAAUAAAGCCCAUAGGCCCAUAACAGAACAGAACAGAUAUUACAUGUUUAUGCAGAAACCCAACCAUAUCCAACCGUAUACACCCCCAUACCAACCUUACACCGUGUGAGGAGACAACUUGACCCACCCAACCGCUACACACCACAGAAUUUGCAGCAUGGCUGCCAGAACAGAUAAUGUGACAGAGUCACCAGAUACAGAUAAUCGUGGCAGAGCCACCAGAACAGAUAUAUGUGGCAGAGCCACCAGAUCAGAUAUUUGUGGCAUAGCCACCAGAACAGAUAUAUGUGGUAGAGCCACCAGAUCAGAUAAUUGUGGCAUAGCCACCAGGACGCUUCCUCCAUAAUAUAACCCAUGUCCCCAUGCAACAGAUAUAUAUAAUCAUGGCAUACAUCAUACAGAAUCAAAUCGCCAUGCUUUUCAGUCAAAAUUAACCAUACGGGUAUAACAGUAAUUUUACACCUAGGGGUAUAACAGUAAUUUUCCAUACAUAGGGGUAUUAUAGUAAUUUAGCUACUUUUAGGGUUUUCAUGCAUAUCCUAACUAUUUACGUACUAUCAGAACACUUACCGCGCAUACUUACCGAAUUGGGCCCGUUGGCCCAUGAACCCGAUCUUUGGCCCAUUAAGCCCAAAUUAUCAAAAUUUACGAAAUCGCGUGUACUGCAGUUUAUUACUUUAGAUUACCAAAUAUACAAACCCAACUAUCUUACGAGCAUUCGCACACUCGAAAAUUCCCAAAAUACCGACUUUUCGGUAUUUCGGCUUUUCGGCUUUUGCCAAUCUAGUCUAUGAGAGGGUGUCAGUUACACACCUGUUUGCGACGAUAUGCUGACGAGAUCCACACACGAACCGCCUACAAUUGGAUUACUAACACGCUAAUCUAACUAUUCAAAUACAAACUACGUAUUAACCCCCUACAACAUUCGGCCACCCACACCUACAGAUCAUAGUAAGCUUAUAAGAAAUCAAUAAGCAACUCAUUAACAAUUUUUUGUCAAUGUUUACCACAUAAUCAUAAUUUCACUGCAAGUUGUCUUCCUGAGCAACAGUCACUAAAUUAUUUAUAACUGGAGCUACGAAAGUCCAAAUCAAGUUCCGUUAAUUUUCCCUGAAAAUAGACUCAUAUAUCUUUUAUCCAUAAAAUUUUCAGAAUUUUUGGUUUAGCCAAUCAAUACCAGAUUUUUCUCAAAGUUUCCCAUGUUUCACUAUUUGACUAAUCUGACCACUCUUCAUUACGAAUCAAAUUUCUCAUUGUACAGAAUUCAAAAUAUGUUCUUGUUUAUUUCAUUAGAAACUAGACUCAAUAAGCUUUAAUUACAUAAUUUAUUCAGCUUCUAAUUGUUCUCCCACAAUUUAUGGUGAUUUUCCAAAGUCACGUUACUGCUGCUGUCCCAAGCAGAUUUAUUACCAAAUCACUCUUUCACACAUACCUUGCAUGCAUGUUAUUUAAACAUGUAUAUCACCAAUCAAUCAUCACAUAUCUAUGAUUUUACUUAAGUAUAAUCUCCAUUUCAUCAUUUUAAAGCACAACAUGUUAGCUGAUUUUUCCCUUUAACAUCUAAGGCACAUGCAUGCUCAUUUGUUUGGCUCAACUUCACCUAUCUUCCAUUUUUCAUCAAAAGAACAUGAAACAACAACCAUUUCCUUCAUUUUAAUUCAUGACUAAAUGCUCACAACACAACUAAAAAUCAAAAUAUACUUCAAGAGUUAAGGUAGAAUCAAGAAGAACUCAUGAACCUUAAAAUAGAAGCAAGGUACCAAGAACUUACCUUCAAUUUUCCUCCUCCUAAUGACCAAAUACUCAAGAGCUUUCUCUUCUCCUUUCUCUUCUCUAACUUUCAGCUAUGAUGAACAAAGAUGGACAAAACUUUGUUCUUUUCACCCCUUUUUCUUUUAAUAAAACUUCAU
rnacentral:lncRNA from 1 species